rnacentral:rRNA from 1 species
AUUGAACGCUGGCGGCAUGCCUUACGCAUGCAAGUCGAACGGUAACGGGCCUUCGGGUGCCGACGAGUGGCGAACGGGUGAGUAAUGUAUCGGAACGUACCUUUCAGUGGGGGACAACGUAGCGAAAGUUACGCUAAUACCGCAUAUUCUGUGAGCAGGAAAGCAGGGGAUCGCAAGACCUUGCGCUGAUUGAGCGGCCGAUAUCAGAUUAGCUAGUUGGUGAGGUAAAGGCUCACCAAGGCGACGAUCUGUAGCGGGUCUGAGAGGAUGAUCCGCCACACUGGAACUGAGACACGGUCCAGACUCCUACGGGAGGCAGCAGUGGGGAAUUUUGGACAAUGGGGGCAACCCUGAUUCAGCCAUGCCGCGUGAGUGAAGAAGGCCUUCGGGUUGUAAAGCUCUUUCGGCCGGGAAGAAAUCGUAUGGGUUAAUACCCUGUGCGGAUGACGGUACCGGCAUAAGAAGCACCGGCUAACUACGUGCCAGCAGCCGCCGUAACAC